rnacentral:lncRNA from 1 species
CGCAAAUCCGCCUUUAGACUUUCGCAAAGUACUUUUUAAAUGACGUCGCUUUAUUUUGCGCGGAUCCGCUUGGGUUCCUCACGCCGCUCUCAACUUUGAAUCUUUCUCCGCUUUCCGCCUUGUAAAAAAUACGCAAAAAGGUUCGGGGCGGACUUAUGGAAAGUCUGCAAAUUACCGAGAAGAACUCAUUCUACGAAUUUAUUUUCUUUAACCUAUUUAGAUGCAGAUUUGUUAGCAUAGCAUGACCAGUUGCCAUGACUAUAGCUUCGCUACUGCAUCUUACUGAAAAGAACUCAUUCAAUGAAAUAUUCAAUUACGAAUUCUCUAGAGUCUCUAGACUGAGAUUCAAAUUCUCGUAAUGGAGAUGUGAGAUGACUCUAAAGUUAGGGGGCUAAAGGUCAUUGAAGGCCAAAUGUCCUGGGGACGAGGUUAAAAGCGAGGAAUAUAAAUUAUAUGUGCUUGUAAUAUAAUGAGUAGUUUUUGUAUAGUACACUGCGGCGGUUAAAAGCGACUAAUGGGUCAACUGUUCUUACUGAUAUAAAAUCAAUCUCGUACCCAGAGUAUGCCCGUUCGGGACCCCUUACGCUAGCUCCACAUGCAGUCUAGCUAAGGUCUAGUCAUGGGGUCCCCAAAGAAUAUCUAACCUGCGAACGGGCAUACUCUGGGUACGAGAUUGAUAUAAAAUACAAAACUGUUUAACUUGGAGGUUCGCAAUUCAGUACUUUGCUCAUGGGCUGAACGUUGACAGGCUCGAACGUGCAAUAUUACCCAAACGUUUAAUCAAAUACAAAGACGGCGGUGUUUCCUUAUGGCAGGUAAUAAUUUGACGGCAGGGCACGUACGAAAAAUUUGCGCCUAUACCAUUCAUGAUUGACUGACUUAGUUGAGCGCCCUUCACAUGCGUGAGAAGACUGGGACUGGCCUUCAAGUUUGGCUUCAAAUUUCCGGUUGGAGGUAGCGUUCCAGUUAUGGUCAUUUCAAAUUUUAAUGUCCUAUAAUGUUAUAUACAUAGUCUAUAGGAGUAUAGCUAUCUUAAACAUAUGUAUAUAUUAUUUUGCUUGCAUGGAGAAGUUUUCAUUGAGAAAUGAAUUGUUUUAGGUUAGUCUGCGCAAAAUUUGAAGAGUAAAAGUAUGACAUGCGUGGUAUAUGAAUGUAGUUUUAAUAAGUGCGAUUGUAAUUUCAUAUGAUCAUGUUUUUGUAAUUAAUGAAUUAAAUUAUAUAUACUUAAUUAUAUAACAUUUAACUUUUGGGGUCUUAAAAGGAUGAACAGCCGAAGAUAAAAACAUUGUCUCAGUUGAUCCUGUGAAAUUUUAAUAACUAAAUAUAUACAUUUUCGCAGGAAAAUUUGAAUUAAAUUUUACAGUUGAGUGUAUAUGUUGUAAAUAGACGUUGAAGUGAAUUUUGCGGGGCAUGGGCAAAAAGUCUUACACAAUAAAUGGCCGUUUAAACGGAAAGUUUGUGUUUUUGAAUUUCCUUGUUUUUAUACUACUUUUCAUUGCGUAUUGCCGCAGAGGUAUUGCCGUUAGUUUCUUUAUACGUAUACCAAGACGUGUUGAAGUUAUCUUCUGUUAACUGGCAAAAAUUAAUGUGCUGCUGUAUGAAUUAAACGCGCCGUCACAGAAUAGACUACACAGAACUUCUUGGGUUUUUUCUAUGAAUUCGACUUCCUCUCAAACGCGCACUGGCUAGGACCAUGGAGUCAGGCAUUUUGAUGAUGAACCAUGGCGUGGCAGCGGUUACUCGAGUCGAACC